GAAGCGCAAAUAUCCAACUAUAGGAACAAGAAGAAAAACACAUUCCCAGAAUCCUUUACAACCACAGUUGGAUCUGCUGGCCACUGAGCGGCUCUAUAGAAGCUCUUGGGGGUUAAGCGCCUUGCUCAAGGGCAUGUCAGUGGUGGUGAUGAGAGGUGGGCAAGAGCUGCUAUUUCACUUUCCCCCUCCAGUUUUAUCCUGCCUGUCCAGUGGGCAUUACAGUACAUUACAUUUCAUUUCAGAGGCUUUAAGAGACAUGAUGGUAGUAAUAAGUAAAUCAGGACAUGCAUAGAUACUGUAGCAGCAGCAGGGAAAGCAGCUGCACAUAAUGAAUAGUGACUCUGACAGCCUAAAUAGCCUGCCCAAUAGGUGUUGACAAUAUAUAAGCUCAGCUAAAGCAUCAGCUGAGUUUUCUGCCUGAACUAGCACACAGGCUUCGCAUCAUUAAUAUUCAGUGAACAACACUUGAAUGCCAACUAUCAUUCUAGAAGAUAAGGUAUUACAUUAGUCAAAUAGUGGAUGAAUGAUGUUAUGGAUUAAAUUUUUUGCAAUAAGUGCUUCACACUGCAAGAAAUAUCAACAGCAGCAGAUUUAAACUUUCUACAAUUCCAGGAAGAGUGUGCUCCUCUGCUGUUUUCCUUCUUGCAUCUCCAACGCUGCUGUUGAUAUUCUUUCCAGGCAACGGCAAACCACCAAGCACCUCCAAAACCUUUGAAAAAUGCAUGACUGAAACAUCAUUCACUUCGAUCCUCAAUUCCUAGCCAACACUACAUACCUCCUCUCUGCGUUACUACAGUGCUGGAAACUGUGGAAAUUAAAGUGAGAGAGUGCUGGCUUAUGGCUUAUGCUACAGCCACUGAUGUCGAAUGUACUGCAAUACCAGACACCCUUCACUUUAUUAACCAAGGGGACAUAAUGAAACUGAGAGCAUGAAUGACAUCCAUUUAAGGUCAAGUGUUCGUGGGACUUCAGGACCUCAUAAGUCGUUUGGCUGCAUUCUUUGAAAGCUGCUACAAUUUCAAUCUGCUGUAUGCCAAACAUGCCUCGUGCACUUGGAAUUUCACCAAAGCCUCAUCGCUUCGUAUCCGUCAGUAUCCCACUGCUUGCCUGGCCUCCAAACUUUCAGUGUCAUGCGUAAUGAGUGCACAGGCAGAUAGGCAGGUAGGUAGGUUGACAGGCAGAUAGCCUGUCCAAUCAUUUCAUUCGGCCUGAAUGAAAUGAUUGGAUGGACUUAUUACAGGCCUGUGCCAGCCAUAGAUACUGGAUUUUUAUAUUUUUUUGAAUUUCAACAAAUAUAACAAAAAAUGCUUCUAAAAUACAUUACCUAGCCUAGCUUUGAUCGACCUGCAGGCAACCUGCUGUUUUUUGUGUUGAGGUUUUAGAUUUAACACUUGUACCUCUUAGCUAAAAUAAAAUUCCCAAUGAAAAUGGAUCAUCACUGUUACAGUAAACUCCAAUUUAUAUCAAAUACAGAUGUCAAGUAUGUUUAUAUCAACUCGGACCUUAGACAGUAAUAGUCAUUCUGCGUUUUUCAUAUUCUUUUUCAUCCCACAUCCCUUUUUUCUCUUGUAGAUAAACAUAAUCUCUAUAGCACCCUCUUCCCUUUCCAAAGUAACCAGGAGACAGGUCACUCAGAGUAGUAUGAACUAUGUACUUGUGUCACAUUUUUGGUUUGUGUAUUUCUCUUAUUUUGGUGUAAAAUUAACUUUUAUUUUUGGUGUAAGAAUUCUGUUUAUUCAUUUUAAAUGUAUUGGUGUUGUAUCCUAUCCAGGCCAGUAGAGGGCAGUAGCAGAGCAUUUGUAACUUAGGGAUCACCUUUGCACAGGGACUGCUAGCUUUUCGUCAUUCCGCCAAGAAAGUCCGGUCUGAUAACAACAAACACUUCUCUCACAUCAUUUCUCCUGUUUGAUGUUACAGCCCGCUGAACGUUAGAAAAAUAAAUAGUAAUGAUGUUAGGUAAAAGUCUCAGUAGUAAAACAUCACUUUUAUGUGCUUGUAAACGCUUUAAAUGCAUGAGUAAACUGUAGUGUAGCCCACACUAAUAACAGUAGAAGGCUAGCAUGACGCUAACGCUAAUAUCGCGACAGAUGGUACAGUUUUUCUGUAGUGAAUUCCCGCUUCUGUCCCUGCUUUUGGCACUGUAAGAAGCUCCUGUUUUUUAUAUGCUAUUGUAAUGUGUUAUAUAUGUUAUUGCAAUGUGUUGAAAUAUGGUUGUUUGUUAGGGUUCUCUCAGGCAACAGUCAGUAUAUGUCUCUCUUUGUAAUUAUUUCAUGCUAAAAAUGGUAACGAUAAAUUAAAGAAGUGUUGAUAUAUGUGUAGAUUACUGAUGAUGAUAAAAUGCUAUGCACAAUAGGUUAUCAUCCCUGAAAGAAGUAUGACUGAAGUUAAAAGUCAGUUUUCAUUGCAUACAUGUUUUAAGGUGUUCAUGUGAACUUAUUUGGUAUGAAGAUACAUGAAUUGAACAGAGUAUAUUUCUCUUAGUGGUAGAAGAGUGGUUUGAUCUGUGAAAAUGGAGAUAUAAGACAUGGAUAUGGAAUAUGUUGCUAAUAAAUUCU